UGAUCUGCGGAUUUGUCUGUUAACAUAUUGAUCUGCUGGGUUAAUUUUGCCGAUUCAGCUGGCAAGGCCUCCUCUUCAUCUCAGCUCUCACUGUGCAUCCUGCUGAUGGCUUUGAACCCAAACAAGAGUCAGCCGGCCAGAGGAGACCUGUCUUCUGCCAGGGGUAUUGAGUAACUUUUCUUGCCUGCUAGAACCUCCAAACGAGGGACCAAGGUCCUAAUAAACGGAGGGCUGCUAUUAUUACCUAGAUAAUUAAGACAAGUGAGGGAAUUUAUUU
rnacentral:sRNA from 1 species